rnacentral:rRNA from 1 species
CGCUGGCGGCGUGCCUAAUACAUGCAAGUCGAACGGUCUUUCUAUGGAAGCUUGCUCCACUGAGAAGAUAGUGGCGAACGGGUGAGUAACACGUGGGUAACCCUGCCCAUAAGAGGGGGGAUAACAUCCGGAAACGGGUGCUAAUACCGCAUAGUUUUCUUGAUCGCAUGAUCGGGAAAGGAAAGACGGCCUUUGUGCUGUCGCCUAUGGAUGGACCCGCGGCGUAUUAGUUAGUUGGUGAGGUAACGGCUCACCAAGACGAUGAUACGUAGCCGACCUGAGAGGGUGAUCGGCCACAUUGGGACUGAGACACGGCCCAAACUCCUACGGGAGGCAGCAGUAGGGAAUCUUCCGCAAUGGACGAAAGUCUGACGGAGCAACGCCGCGUGAGUGAAGGUAAAGGUUUUCGGAUCGUAAAACUCUGUUGUCAGAGAAGGACAAGUUGGAGAGUAACUGCUCCAGCCUUGACGGUAUCUGACCAGAAAGCCACGGCUAACUACGUGCCAGCAGCGGC